rnacentral:sRNA from 1 species
AUGGACCACGUGUACACCCCGGUUCCUGCGCGCCGUCCGCACCCGCCUGACGACUGCUUGCCACGUUGGGUUAGCG